UCGAGAAUCUUCCACAAUGGACGAAAGUCUGAUGGAGCGACGCCGCGUGAUUGAUGAAGUCCCUUUGGGACGUAAAGAUCUUUUAUGAGGGAAGAAGUUUAUUGACGGUACCUCAUGAAUAAGAGGCUCCUAAUCUCGUGCCAGCAGGAGCGGUAAUACGAGAGCCUCGAGCGUUAUCCGGAAUUAUUGGGCGUAAAGGGUGCGUAGGUUGUUCUGUUAGUCAAUUGUUAAAACCCCGGGCUUAACCUGGGAUCGGCGAUUGAAACGGCAGAACUUGAAAGUGCGAGAGGCGUACGGAACUCAUGGUGUAGGGGUGAAAUCCGUUGAUAUCAUGGGGAACACCAAAAGCGAAGGCAGUACGCUGGCGCAUAUUUGACACUGAAGCACGAAAGCGUGGGUAGCGAAUG
rnacentral:rRNA from 1 species